GUGCCAGCCGCCGCGGUAAUACGGAGGGUCCAAGCGUUAUCCGGAAUCAUUGGGUUUAAAGGGUCCGCAGGCGGACUAGUAAGUCCGUGGUGAAAUCUCUCAGCUUAACUGGGAAACUUUCAUUGAUACUGUUAGUCUUGAAUUCGGUCGAAGUGGGCGGAAUGUGUCAUGUAGCGGUGAAAUGCAUAGAUAUGACACAGAACACCGAUAGCGAAGGCAGCUCACUAGGCCUGAAUUGACGCUCAGGGACGAAAGCGGGGGGUGCGAACAGGAUUAGAAACCCGAUGUGUCC
rnacentral:rRNA from 1 species